rnacentral:lncRNA from 1 species
UUGGUUAUGGUUCUCAAGGUGGUGAGGACUAUUGGAUCAUAAAGAAUUCAUGGGGUACCUAUUGGGGAAUGGAGGGAUAUGCCUAUAUAAGAAGAAACACUAAGUUGAAAAACGGUGUUUGUGCAAUCAAUGCAAUGGCUUCUUAUCCAACCAAAGAAUCCUCUUCUUCUCCAUCUCCUUAUCCCUCCCCUGCUGUUCCACCACCUCCACCAGUAAAUCCACCGCCGCCACCACCGCCUUCUCCAUCUCCUAGUGAUUGUGGAGACUACUCUUACUGUCCACCAGAUGAGACAUGCUGCUGUCUCCUUGAAUUCCGCCACUUUUGCUUCGUGCAAGGUUGCUGUGAUUACGAAAAUGCUGUUUGCUGUACUGGCACAGAU